GAUGAACGCUGGCGGCGUGCCUAAUACAUGCAAGUCGAGCGAACAGACGAGGAGCUUGCUCCUCUGACGUUAGCGGCGGACGGGUGAGUAACACGUGGAUAACCUACCUAUAAGACUGGGAUAACUUCGGGAAACCGGAGCUAAUACCGGAUAAUAUAUUGAACCGCAUGGUUCAAUAGUGAAAGACGGUUUUGCUGUCACUUAUAGAUGGAUCCCCCCGCCUUAGCUAGUUGGGAAGGUAACCGCUUACCAAGGCGACGAUGCGUAGCCGACCUGAGAGGGUGAUCGGCCACACUGGAACUGAGACACGGUCCAGACUCCUACGGGAGGCAGCAGUAGGGAAUCUUCCGCAAUGGGCGAAAGCCUGACGGAGCAACGCCGCGUGAGUGAUGAAGGUCUUCGGAUCGUAAAACUCUGUUAUUAGGGAAGAACAAAUGUGUAAGUAACUAUGCACGUCUUGACGGUACCUAAUCAGAAAGCCACGGCUAACUACGUG
rnacentral:rRNA from 1 species